rnacentral:lncRNA from 1 species
UAAAUAAGUAAAUUAAAUUAGUAAAUUAAAUAAAGAAAAAUGACAUAGAUUUACAAGCAAAAGUAGCAUCCAAGUUAUAAUUCACAGGUCAUACAAACUUAAUACAUAAAUAAAACGCAGCUAGUCUUUUACACUAAUAUUUAACUUUCUAAGCACCAUAGCAAGUUGGCUAUUCAUCUAUUCCAUCUGCUUUCUCCUCCUUGGACACUGCCUUCCAAGUGAAUCCAUCAGGAUCCCGCCUCUCGGAUAUAGAAUCUGUGAUAACUCGCGAGCAUCUACCUGAAGGCUCUAACAUGAAAAUAAUAAUUAAAUUAUAUUAAAUAAUUGCAUUAGACACUCAUUUGACACCUCUGAGUGUAACACGGAUAUAAGCGGGCAAAGGGACUGAGCAAGCAACCACAACAAGGCACUGAACAGCUUUAUUGACAGCAGCAUGUAUGGAAAUAAAAGUCCAACUAUUCAAGAAUAAGCAAAUAUAAGAAACUAAUAAACUUUCUCCUGCUUCUUAAAAUUGAAAAGACAAGUAAGCAAUAAAGAAUGAUCACAAGGCAUGUGAAAAUUCUGCAAGUAUAUGAUCACAGCAGUAAACAUUAAUAUAACAAAUCAGUAAACUCUCCUCUAAUUCUGAUUAAUACUUCUGUCUGGUGGGAUUGGGGCAGAGCGACAUGGCAAUUCCCCUAAUGGCAGCAGCUACUACAAGGCAGUUUAUAUUGAUGAUCCAAUAAAAUACGACCAUUAAAACCAAAACAAUAUUUUGGAUUAUCAAUAAACUCUCCUCUAAUUUUGAAUCAGUCAUCUGUACACACUAAUUUCUCGCAAGAAUUCAAUUAUCAAGGUGGUGUUUAGUAAUAAUUUAAUAAGACAUUAUAUAUGAACUUAUAUUCUGAGACUAUAGAACACUUGUAACUUUUUUUAAAUUAUAAAUGAAAUAGCUUGUCUGUAAAUUUCUGGAUCCACCGAGUGCAGACAGAUGUUGAAUGAGAACGUAUAAAGACUGCCUAAGCAGCCCCAAAUGUGUCAGUAGCACUAGCUGCAAAAAUAAUAUUAAAUUUAUAGUGUAUAUAUCAACGGAUAUAUAUAUUUCUGGAGAAUAUCACGACCAAAUCUCAUUAAACAUGUUAAUCAGAGCAUCCAACAUAAAGUAAUUGCAGCAUAGCAAUCAGUGCAGUGGAUAACGGUUUGAUUUCUGGCUGUAAGUGGAUCUUUAAUAGAAGUUGUAAUAUAUGCAUACCUCAAGAUCUUCUCUCUGCUACUUAUGCUUUUUAAACUCUAUGAUCUUUGUGAUAUAUCACCAACCCAUACUCUUCUUCUUUCAUGCCAAGCUACCUCAUCU